AUUGAACGCUGGCGGCAGGCCUAACACAUGCAAGUCGAACGAGUGGCGGACGGGUGAGUAAUGUCUGGGAAACUGCCCGAUAGAGGGGGAUAACUACUGGAAACGGUGGCUAAUACCGCAUACUAUCGGAUGAACCCAUAUGGGAUUAGCUAGUAGGUGGGGUAAAGGCUCACCUAGGCGACGAUCCCUAGCUGGUCUGAGAGGACGACCAGCCACACUGGAACUGAGACACGGUCCAGACUCCUACGGGAGGCAGCAGUGGGGAAUAUUGCACAAUGGGCGCAAGCCUGAUGCAGCCAUGCCGCGUGUAUGAUGAAGGCCUUCGGGUUGUAAAGUACUUUCAGCGAGGAGGCGUUACUCGCAGAAGAAGCACCGGCUAACUCCGUGCCAGCAGCCGCGGUAAUUC
rnacentral:rRNA from 1 species